UACGAAGGGGGCUAGCGUUGUUCGGAAUCACUGGGCGUAAAGCGUACGCAGGCGGCCAGACAAGUCAGAGGUGAAAUCCCGGAGCUCAACUCCGGAACUGCCUUUGAAACUGUUUGGCUCGAGUUCGGUAGGGGAUAGCGGAAUUCCUAGUGUAGAGGUGAAAUUCGUAGAUAUUAGGAGGACCACCAAUGGCGAAGGCAGCUAUCUGGGCCGAUACUGACGCUUAUGUACGAAAGCGUGGGGAUCAAACAGG
rnacentral:rRNA from 1 species